UACGGAGGAUGCAAGCGUUAUCCGGAAUUAUUGGGCGUAAAGCGUCCGCAGGUGGCUAUGUAAGUCUGCUGUUAAAGAGUGAGGCUCAACCUCAUAAAAGCAGUGGAAACUACAUGGCUAGAGUGCGUUCGGGGCAGAGGGAAUUCCUGGUGUAGCGGUGAAAUGCGUAGAGAUCAGGAAGAACACCGGUGGCGAAAGCGCUCUGCUAGGCCGCAACUGACACUGAGGGACGAAAGCUAGGGGAGCGAAUGGG
rnacentral:rRNA from 1 species